rnacentral:rRNA from 1 species
ACGGGUGAGUAAUGUCUGGGGAUCUGCCCGAUAGAGGGGGAUAACCACUGGAAACGGUGGCUAAUACCGCAUAACGUCGCAAGACCAAAGAGGGGGACCUUCGGGCCUCUCACUAUCGGAUGAACCCAGAUGGGAUUAGCUAGUAGGCGGGGUAAUGGCCCACCUAGGCGACGAUCCCUAGCUGGUCUGAGAGGAUGACCAGCCACACUGGAACUGAGACACGGUCCAGACUCCUACGGGAGGCAGCAGUGGGGAAUAUUGCACAAUGGGCGCAAGCCUGAUGCAGCCAUGCCGCGUGUAUGAAGAAGGCCUUCGGGUUGUAAAGUACUUUCAGCGGGGAGGAAGGCGGUAAGGUUAAUAACCUUGCCGAUUGACGUUACCCGCAGAAGAAGCACCGGCUAACUCCGUGCCAGCAGCCGCGGUAAUACGGAGGGUGCAAGCGUUAAUCGGAAUUACUGGGCGUAAAGCGCACGCAGGCGGUCUGUUAAGUCAGAUGUGAAAUCCCCGGGCUUAACCUGGGAACUGCAUUUGAAACUGGCAGGCUUGAGUCUCGUAGAGGGGGGUAGAAUUCCAGGUGU